CAACUUCAGAUGUAGAAAACCUGAAGGACCCAAGGAUUGUGUAAGAACUAUGACUGGCUGUAUUGAAGAAUGCAGACCCAGAAUCCCAACAGAGUCAGAGCCUGGGUCUGCAGCCCGGGAUGCAAAGCUUGCAGCGUGGUCUCGAUGAUCCAGCCCACUUGGUGUGGACAUGAAGAGGGACACAGACUGCAUGCAGUCAUCUGAGUUUGAUGAUGUCACCCAGUCUGAAGACACAGGCAGACCCUCUUCUGCACAGGAACUAAUCCAAGUCAACCCACCUCAUGCCAUACCAAAAGGCGCAGUCAGAGCACAGAUGAAGCCAUGCGGCAGCAAGGAGGAUGGAGUGGAGGUACACAAACAAACCACGGCGCACACAAAAUGGCACAGCCACAGACACUCAUAACCAGUCACCGCACGCGAGUCCUAAUUCCGAUAUCUCCAUCACCCCAUCCAAGGCUUGGGGAACAUUCCAGAAGAGAGAGAGGGAAGAACAGGAAAGCCAGAACGGACUGUUCUGAAACACUAUUUCCAGGCAGGAAGUGACCACUGUGCUCCUGAAUUCACAGCAGCUGGGAUGACCUGCUAGAGAGCCACAUCUUGAGCUGCUGACAUCCCAUCACAUUAGGGAAAAGGCUCACCAAGACCCCGCAACAGCUAAUGGAAGUUAAUGGUUGAAUGGUGAGGAUGUUUUCUCCAGUGGUUUAGCUACUGGUAAGCUGCUCUUGAGCCUGUGAUGACCCCUUACCCAUGUUCCUGUAAGCAACCCUAAUGAAAUGCACUGGGUGGCAAAAAGAAAGGAAUGAAUAAAAGAAGAUAGAACAGGGUCGAGUUGCGGAGA
rnacentral:lncRNA from 1 species